CAUUUAUAAAUUAUGUCAUCACAUCCCUAGCCUGGGUGCUCUGGAGCUGUAUGUACCACAUCCCCUUGAAAGUUCAACAUGGCCUCCUGUAAUCCUCUUCUAUCCUUAAUCUGCGCUGUCCCGCUGCAUGGGCGACCUCCCGUGGUCAGUAGAGUGUGAAUUGGGGAUUGCAAAUUGACUCUUCAAUGUAAAAGCCUGCCCUUGGAUAUAUGGCUACCCCUUCAUGGGUGUUUUGUUGGAAAAUGCCAAUCUUUGCUCAAUUGCAGAACAAACUUCCCUCCACUUUACAGCCCUCCCUCCAGUUUGUCCAUGGAAGACCACAUUUAAAAAGUAACCCCACCUGAAACUUCACAAAGCCCAAUCAGCUAUAGAAAUGUCAGAGCAGACGGCACACCCUCUUUUGUUCAAAACCAAUCAGAGUGGAAGUGUGGCAUUUUGCCCGAGGGGAAAACUUACCCCUGGAUGCGUUAAUUACGCAUCACUUAGCUGUUGCCAAUGUGUUCACAACGGAGGAUCCUCUUUUGGGUUUUUUACAACGACUGUCUUCAUUCUUUGGUCAAUCUAGUAUGGAAAGUAGACAACAAUGGCUUACCAGGCUGAAAAAUGAACUUAGUAACAGUCCUCUGGUAUCAAAUGUGGCUUUUGGCUUUAUCCUCAUGGGACUAGAGAAGCUGGUGGAGCUGGAGUUUGAGUGUCCUUGCAGUCCUAAAUGGAACGGAUUGUUUUCAUCAGCAUUCUUCAUCAUUCCUGCCGUCAUGGCCUUCACUUUGAUGCUGAUCAUUCAAGGAUGCAGAUGUGAUAUGUGGUGCAGGAAAACUGUGUCCCUCUCCAGUUUUGUUCCCGCUAUCGUGUGGCUGAUUUUAUUGUUCCUCGAUGGCCAAUACUUUGCUUGUGCUAUGACAGACUGGGAGGGUAGAUUUGUACUAGUUGACAAGGCAGCUCCACAGAAAUGGUGUGAGCCAAUUAGAGAGGGAGAUGUCACCACACAAGAACUAAUGCUCCGCUCACAACAGCUGUUUGUGUUUUCUCAGGUUAUAGGCAUAGUCCUCCUCAUUUUCAUCUGUAUGGGUCUCAUAGUGUAUGUAAUCAGAGAAAGCUGCCAACAAGAUGUGGAGAUGCAGGAUGCAAAUGUAGCUGAGCUCACUGUGCUCAGGAUGAGCUCUCUAAGGACCCGGACAUCUUGAAGGGACACACACCGCCCACCACACCUGCCCUGCUGGCACGGAUACUUGUAAAUACUUGGAACAGACAUUUACUAUAAGUUUUUGUAACUGCUGUACCAUUUGAGUAUUUUCCUCAUGGAAGCGGGAUAUACAGUGCCUUUUGAAUAGCCACUGAUGCUGCCAAAUGAAGCCUCAUAAAUAUGCAUAUAAUAUCAAUAUUAGUGAAAACUCUUAUUGUCCUGUAAUGUAUUGUGGGGGGGUGUUUGUUUUACCUAAACUUUGUGGUGUGUUUUGAGAAAUAUGGUUCUCUUUUCGUGUCUUGUCUGCAAAAGCUACAUAAAGUAAUGGAUUAGUACAUCGAUCGCCAAUUCAGCUGAUUCAUCUGUUUUAUUAGACUACUUGAUGACAAGCAGCACAAGGCAGGAGCCAGCAGGAAGAGAAACUGUUAAGCACCAUUACUUUCAAUAAAACAUCUCUUUGUUUUUUGAAUUUUUGUCCUUAGCUAACUAGCUCUUAACCCCAGUCUUAUUUUACUGCACACGUAUGUGCAUUUAA